UGCGAGUCAAUGGGUUUGUCUAAACCCAUGGGCGCAAUGAAAGUGAAUAAAAAAGCUGAGGUAGUGUAAAUAAGCUACCUGGAGAAGGGCUGAUCCCUGGCCGGACGCCGACCACCGUGCAAAGGGUAGUCGUGAGCGCUCUGUACUGCUACCGUGAGUUAUUUUCCGGAGCUCUACACUACGUGACGACAAUGAAAUCCCUACACAAACGGAACGCCAAGGCCUAAAACUCAAACCUUAAUUGGAUGAUAGAGGGGGCGCAAGCCCGGGACAUGUAUAUGACAAAAAGUUUGUACUAUCUAAAGAGUUUGAUUGAGACUUGUUCUCUUCUUCUUUUUGGUUUAGUUCAAAAGAUGACACCUACUGCUACAACCCUUUACGGGGAAGUAGUAAUAAAAAAAGAACACAAUGCUCUCUCGCAUAUAAUAAACACCUCUGUAUGGAAUUCCUCCCUCGUUUGGAGUUUUAAAUGUAUCUAUACACGUGUUUUGAGAGUUUAAAAGCGUGUUCGGUGUCAUAGUACAUGUACCUUGAGCAUACAUGUUAGUACCCGAAAGAUGGUGAACUAUGCCUGGCCAGGAUGAAGUCAGAGGAAACUCUGAUGGAGGUCCGAAACGAUUCUGACGUGCAAAUCGAUCGUCAGAGCUGGGUAUAGGGGCGAAAGACUAAUCGAACUAUCUAGUAGCUGGUUCCCUCUGAAGUUUCCCUCAGGAUAGCUGGUACUCGAGGUUGAAAUGAGGAUUUGUAUCCGGUAAAGCGAAUGAUUAGAGGGUUUGGGGACGAAAAGUCCUCAACCUAUUCUCAAACUUUAAAUGGAUAUUGUGGUCAAGCUUGCUUAAAUGAUGAAGCUUGUACCCAAAAUCAAUGAGUGCUUAGUGGGCCAUUUUU
rnacentral:rRNA from 1 species